GUUUCUAGGGUGUACCGUUUUAGCACAUUAGAUUUUCAUUCUAAAGGAAUAAAUCACUAUUUAUUAGAAAUA
rnacentral:tRNA from 1 species